rnacentral:lncRNA from 1 species
AUCUCAUCGAUCGGAUCUUCUGCCUGCAUCUUCUGCCUGCAUCUUGCCUACAUCUUGCCUGCAUCUUCUGCCUGUUUGCAUCGGAACAAAGAGGCUAGUAUUCACAAUGAACUUGAUAUUUGAUUGAUUUCUUUAAGAGUUGACUGAAUUGGCUGUUUGAUAUUUCGUUUUAAUAAACUGUUGUUGUGAAUGUGUUUGGUGUUUGUUUGGUAUUUGUUUGGUGUUUGUGUUAUUCUUAUGUGUUUGUUUUGUUUUCUUUAUGGGUAAGCACGUAUAAUGGUUAUGGAAAAGACAUGGGUUCAUCUCAACAGGUAUGUG